rnacentral:ncRNA from 1 species
AUAUGGGCAAACUUAUGGAAACGUGAGGACGCAAAGCUAAAUAUCUACGGUAUACCCUACUAUGAUCGAUUGGUUGCA